UACGAAGGGGGCUAGCGUUGCUCGGAAUCACUGGGCGUAAAGCGCACGUAGGCGGCUUCUUAAGUCAGGGGUGAAAUCCUGGAGCUCAACUCCAGAACUGCCUUUGAUACUGGCCAUCUAGAGAUCGGAAGAGGUGAGUGGAAUUCCCAGUGUAGAGGUGAAAUUCGUAGAUAUUGGGAAGAACACCAGUGGCGAAGGCGGCUCACUGGUCCGAUACUGACGCUGAGGCGCGAAAGCGUGGGGAGCAAACAGGG
rnacentral:rRNA from 1 species